rnacentral:rRNA from 1 species
AGGACGAACGCUGGCGGCGUGCCUAACACAUGCAAGUUGAGCGACGAACCGGGGCUUGCCCCGGGGCAAAGCAGCGAACGGGUGAGUAACACGUGGAUAACGUACCCCGAUAACCGGGACAACCCGAGGAAACUCGAGCUAAUACCGGAUGUGCUUACUACACAUCAGUGAAGUAAGUAAAGGAAGCUUCGGCCUCCGUAUUGGGAGCGGUCCGCGGCCCAUUAGCUAGUUGGUGAGGUAACGGCUCACCAAGGCAACGAUGGGUAGCUGGUCUGAGAGGACGAUCAGCCACACUGGGACUGAGACACGGCCCAGACUCCUAGGGAGGCAGCAGGCGGGAAUCUUGCGCAAGUGCGCGAAAGCGUGACGCAGCAACGCGCGGUGGGAAGUAAGGUUUGGAUUACGUAAACCCCUUUGAAGGAAGGAACGAAGGUUCGACGAGUAGAA